AGUGAACGCUGGCGGCAGGCCUAAUACAUGCAAGUCGAACGGCAGCACAGCAGAGCUUGCACCUGGUGGCGAGUGGCGAACGGGUGGGUAAUGCAUCGGAACGUGCCCAGUCGUGGGGGAUAACGCAGCGAAAGUUGUGCUAAUACCGCAUACGUCCUGAGGGAGAAAGCAGGGGAUCUUCGGACCUUGUGCGAUUGGAGCGGCCGAUGUCAGAUUAGCUAGUUGGUGAGGUAAAAGCUCACCAAGGCGACGAUCUGUAGCUGGUCUGAGAGGAUGAUCAGCCACACUGGAACUGAGACACGGUCCAGACUCCUACGGGAGGCAGCAGUGGGGAAUUUUGGACAAUGGGGGCAACCCUGAUCCAGCCAUGCCGCGUGAGUGAAGAAGGCCUUCGGGUUGUAAAGCUCUUUCGGCCGGGAAGAAAUCGUGCAGGCUAAUACCCUGUAUGGAUGACGGUACCGGAAUAAGAAGCACCGGCUAACUACGUGCCAGCAGCCGCAGUAACAC
rnacentral:rRNA from 1 species